rnacentral:misc_RNA from 1 species
GAUGAAGAACGCAGCGAAAUGCGAUAAGUAAUGUGAAUUGCAGAAUUCAGUGAAUCAUCGAAUCUUUGAACGCACAUUCGCCCCUUGGUAUUCCGAGGGGCAUGCCUGUUCGAGCGUCAUUAUAACCCCUCAAGCUCAGCUUGGUGUUGGGGCCUGCUGCACUGGCAGCCCUUAAAAUCAGUGGCGGCGCCAUCUGGCUCUAAGCGUAGUAAUUCUUCUCGCUAUGGAGUCCUGGUGGAUGCUUGCCAUCAACCCCCAAUUUUUCUAUGGUUGACCUCGGAUCAGGUAGGGAUACCCGCUGAACUUAAGCAUAUCAAUAAGCGGAGGA